rnacentral:rRNA from 1 species
UACGAAGGUCCCGAGCGUUGUUCGGAAUCACUGGGCGUAAAGGGCGCGUAGGCGGCGCAACAAGUCACUUGUGAAAUCUCCGGGCUUAACCCGGAGCGGCCAAGUGAUACUGUCGUGCUAGAGUGCGGAAGGGGCUACUGGAAUUCUCGGUGUAGCGGUGAAAUGCGUAGAUAUCGAGAGGAACACCUGCGGCGAAGGCGGGUAGCUGGGCCGACACUGACGCUGAGGCGCGAAAGCCAGGGGAGCGAACGGG